CGAGUUGGCAGGGCGGCCGCGACGCCGCGCCACGCGGCGCGGUUUCGAGGAAAGUCCGGACUCCGCAGGGCAGGGUGGUUGCUAACGGCAACCCGGGGUGACCCGCGGGAAAGUGCCACAGAAAACAGACCGCCCGGCGGUACUGAGCCGGUGCCGGUGGCGCCGGCGCAGUGGUCGGGUAAGGGUGAAACGGUGGUGUAAGAGACCACCAGCGUCCCGGGCGACCGGGACGGCUCGGUAAACCCCACCCGGAGCAAGGUCAAGAGGGAGCCUCAGGGCUCCUGCGCAGGCGUUCGAGGGCUGCCCGUCCGAGGCCUGCGGGUAGACCGCUGGAGCCUGUCGGCAACGGCAGGCCGAGAUGGAUGGUCGCCGCCCACGGCCCGGCCGUGGGAACAGAAUCCGGCUUACAUGCCAACUCGUCCU
rnacentral:RNase_P_RNA from 1 species